rnacentral:rRNA from 1 species
AGAAGUUUGAWUCAUGGCUCAGGAUGAACGCUGGCGGCGUGCCUAAUACAUGCAAGUCGAGCGAACUGACGAGGAGCUUGCUCCUUUGACGUUAGCGGCGGACGGGUGAGUAACACGUGGGUAACCUACCUAUAAGACUGGAAUAACUCCGGGAAACCGGGGCUAAUGCCGGAUAACAUGUUGAACCGCAUGGUUCAACAGUGAAAGACGGUCUUGCUGUCACUUAUAGAUGGACCCGCGCCGUAUUAGCUAGUUGGUAAGGUAACGGCUUACCAAGGCGACGAUACGUAGCCGACCUGAGAGGGUGAUCGGCCACACUGGAACUGAGACACGGUCCAGACUCCUACGGGAGGCAGCAGUAGGGAAUCUUCCGCAAUGGGCGAAAGCCUGACGGAGCAACGCCGCGUGAGUGAUGAAGGUCUUCGGAUCGUAAAGCUCUGUUGUUAGGGAAGAACAUAUGUGUAAGUAACUGUGCACAUCUUGACGGUACCUAACCAGAAAGCCACGGCUAACUACGUGCCAGCAGCCGCGGUAAUACGUAGGUGGCAAGCGUUAUCCGGAAUUAUUGGGCGUAAAGCGCGCGUAGGCGGUUUUUUAAGUCUGAUGUGAAAGCCCACGGCUCAACCGUGGAGGGUCAUUGGAAACUGGAAAACUUGAGUGCAGAAGAGGAAAGUGGAAUUCCAUGUGUAGCGGUGAAAUGCGCAGAGAUAUGGAGGAACACCAGUGGCGAAGGCGGCUUUCUGGUCUGUAACUGACGCUGAGGUGCGAAAGCGUGGGGAUCAAACAGGAUUAGAUACCCUGGUAGUCCACGCCGUAAACGAUGAGUGCUAAGUGUUAGGGGGUUUCCGCCCCUUAGUGCUGCAGCUAACGCAUUAAGCACUCCGCCCUGGGG